CGGGCGAACGUUGAGGCGCAGUGUGACGUGCGUUGACGCAGGGUGAAGUGAACUGCCUGGUUUCAAGUGAACUGCGCGCCUGGGUAGUCCGAAAGAUGAAACGCAGUUUAUCGUACACCUGCGUCCAGAUUAAACGCAGUUCUACUGAAUAGAUUCCUACUAUUUUCUAUGAUGUAUACAUAUUUGCUUAAUUUAUUAGACUCGGAAUCUGAUUCUGACUUUGUUGACGAAGAAAUAGCGUAUACAACUAUAUUCAGAAGAAAACUGCCAAAAAGUGAUUACUUAAAAAAGAGAAAGACUCACGGAGAAUUCGUUCUUCAGAAAGAACUUUCUGAAGAAAAGUACAAAAAUUAUUAACGAGUAACCCGUGCACAGUUUGCAGAAAUUCACGGAUUUAUUAAAGAAGACAUAGAAGCUGAAGGGUGUAAUGCGUCAAAGCCCAUCGGAACGGAAGAAAAACUAGCCGUAUUUUUAAGGUACAUCGCUUCAGGGAACUGCUUUAAAAGUAUGGGCUACAGUUAUAGAAUGAGUGACCGAACAGUAUCCAAUAUUGUAAAUGAAGUAGCAGGAGCUAUUUGGAAACGUAUGCAACCAUUAUGUAUGCCACAAGGAACAGCAGAACAUUGGACGUCCAUUGCACAUGGUUUUGAAGAAAGGUGGCAAUUUCCACAUUGCAUCGGAGCUAUUGACGGGAAGCAUGUAUUAAUAAAGAAGCCAGGUUUAAGUGGUUCCUCAUUUUUUAAUUAUAAAAAAACUUUCUCUAUUGUAUUAAUGGCUAUUGUGGACUCAAACUACAAAUUCAUUACUAUUGAUGUUGGCUCAAUGGGACGAUUUAGUGACGGAAACAUUUUUGGUAGCAGUGUUUUAGCAAAAAAACUUAAGAACAACACUUUGAAUAUCCCUCCAGCUUUUCUAAUACCUAUAAUUGAUGAUCCAAUGCCAUAUGUAUUUGUAGGAGACGAAGCUUUUCCUUUGUGUGAAAAUUGAAUGCGACCAUAUCCAAAACGAAGUGUCAUGGACAAUUACGAGAACAAAGUUUUUAAUUACAGACUUUCGCGGGCUCGACAAACUGUGGAAUGUUCUUUCGGUAUUCUUGCAUCCCGUUUUCGUGUUUUUCGUUCACCAUUUGAAUGCAAAUUAGACAGUGUAGUGAAAGUUGUAAAAGCAUCUUGCUUGCUGCAUAACUAUUUGAGAAAUUCUCCAAUUUCACAAAUCGAAGAAUUCUCCGAAAAUAUGCCGGUACAUCAGCUACUUCCACUUCGUAAAAUUAAUACUCGAAGUCCAUCUAAAGCUUUUUGCGUUCGUCAAAACUUCACAGAAUACUUCGUAUCACCAGCAGGAUCGCUGCCUUGGCAGAGAGAUAGUUUAUUGAGAGGGAAAUACUAAAAUCUACGUACGCAUGUACCGUACAAACUAAAACGUGACAAAAUUGCAUUAUUUUAGAAUAGGAAAGAAGGGAAAUGCGCAAUUUUUACAAGGAUCAGCCCAUCUAUUUUAUUAUAGAAUGUAGUUUAAAAAGAUAAUGUGUAAAAGUGUGUAGCUUAGCGAUGUUUAUGUUUAGGUACUUAGCUAUAUAUAUGUACAUAUAUGUUUAUGUUCAAAUGUCAAAAAAUAGAAAAUAAAAAUUAAAUAAAAGUAAUUACCUGUUUUCAGUCCAACCUCCAUCGCAAUUUCGUCCCAUAACUGCUGUUUUAAUUUCGAUUUCAUAUAAUCAACAUCAUUUGUGUCAUAUAAGACCUUUCUACAUCGAACGGCUUCAAUUAGCUUUUCCUCCAUACCUAUUUCUCAGAUGCACACAUAUGAAAAAUCACGACGGUUUUGUGUUUAGACCGCAGGCUAACGCAGGCUCACGGCGUACAAAAACUGCGCCAUCUCACGCUGCGUCUGAAUAUUCGCUGUUCUAUCGACGUCUAUUGAUUACAGAAAUCUGCGGUGAGUCACCCUGCGUCGCCUCACUUAACUGCGUCUCAACGUUCGCCCGGCCUAAAUAUGCAUAUCUUCUCGCCUCUUCAAUCAACGCAUGGUUGUUUUGCUAGACACCGUUAUAAAUAGUUUUUUGACAGUGCGCAACCUGUCAAUGCAGUUCAGAUCUGUUUUGCUAGUAAAACGUUAAGGAACCUCUAUACAAACAUAGUUAAAACGAGAAACGUUUGAAGAUUGCUCUGAAAUAAGCAAUACUUACGAAGAAAGUAUGGUGUGGUAUGGUAGGUCAGUUAGGAAAGAGGCGGCGUUCUUGGAAAUGCAAGAGAGGGAAAGAAACGAGGAAGAAGAGAGGCAAAGGUGGAUACGGGAACAAGAAAACAGGAGAAGAGAGGAAAUCAGGAGAAAUUCAAGACAAGAAAGUAUUGACAGCAGAAGAAGUGAAGAGAGAAGUAGGAGUAGAAGUUAUAGAGUGGAUAACAGACGAAGUAGAAUGCGUGGACGAGGUAGAGGACGGGGAAAUGUGCAGAGACGUGGUUACACGGGAACCGGGUGUAGAGGUCGCGGACAAAUGACGACAGACACCCGGCAACAACAGCGGUUGAAAGGUGCCUGAGUUAUAAUAAUACCGCGUCCUUGGUCGCUUUUACAAGGCAAUUUUUAAAUGAAUAAAAAAAAUUAUUAUUUAUUCUUUGCUAUUUUUUUUAUUCUUUAAACGUUAUUAAUUAAAAUUGGUUAACAUGAUUUGAGUUAAACAUAAAUUAAUAAUUCUUAAUAUAUUCAAAUUCAAAAUAAAUUUAUUUAUCAGUAAAAUAACGAACAUAAUUAACAAUUUACAAUAAAUAAGCCAUUAUGAUAAAUAGAAGCAUGCCUCGAUUAUGAAACCGUUAGCACAGGUGCAAACCUGUCUAGCAAGGCCCUUUUUUAAAAAACGAAUAAUAAAUAAAAAACAAUGAAUAGUACUGGCCAAUAUAAGUACUUUUCUGAAUACCAAUUUAUGAUAAUACGG